rnacentral:rRNA from 1 species
CCUACGGGAGGCUGCAGUGGGGAAUAUUGGACAAUGGGGGGAACCCUGAUCCAGCCAUGCCGCGUGUGUGAAGAAGGCCCUCGGGUUGUAAAGCACUUUCAGUGAGGAAGAACGCCUGGUGGUUAAUACCCAUCAGGAAAGACAUCACUCACAGAAGAAGCACCGGCUAACUCCGUGCCAGCAGCCGCGGUAAUACGGAGGGUGCGAGCGUUAAUCGGAAUUACUGGGCGUAAAGCGCGCGUAGGUGGCUUGAUAAGCCGGUUGUGAAAGCCCCGGGCUCAACCGGGGAACGGCAUCCGGAACUGUCAAGCUAGAGUGCAGGAGAGGAAGGUAGAAUUCCCGGUGUAGCGGUGAAAUGCGUAGAGAUCGGGAGGAAUACCAGUGGCGAAGGCGGCCUUCUGGACUGACACUGACACUGAGGUGCGAAAGCGUGGGUAGCAAACAGGAUUAGAUACCCUAGUAGUC